AGGAUGAACGCUGGCGGCGUGCCUAAUACAUGCAAGUCGAGCUGAAAGGCCUCUUCGGAGGUACUCGAGCGGCGGACGGCUGAGUAACGCGUAGGAACGUACCCCAAAGUGAGGAAUAAGCACCAGAAAUGGUGUCUAAUACCGCAUGUGAUCUAAGGAUUAAAGCUUCGGCGCUUUGGGAACGGCCUGCGUAUGAUUAGCUUGUUGGUGAGGUAAUGGCUCACCAAGGCGACGAUCAUUAGCUGGUCUGAGAGGAUGAUCAGCCAGACUGGGACUGAGACACGGCCCAGACUCCUACGGGAGGCAGCAGUAGGGAAUUUUCCACAAUGGGCGAAAGCCUGAUGGAGCAACGCCGCGUGCAGGAUGAAGGCCUUCGGGUCGUAAACUGCUUUUGUUAGUGACGAUUAUGACGGUAACUAGCGAAUAAGGAUCGGCUAACUCCGUGCCAGCAGCCGC
rnacentral:rRNA from 1 species